UGCUGGUGGAGGCACAGGGGUGUAUGAGGAGACCCCGUCCUCCAGGUCCUCGCCUCCCUGCCCCACGCCGGGACCACCGCUGCCUGCCCAUCCCUGGCGGGCUCGGCCCCCAUACUGCAUCCCUGCGUCACCGCAGCCCUCCGGCACCGCGCGCCCCAUCCCGCAGCCCCCCCAUGUCCUCCCUCGAGAGCCUCUGCCUCGAUUCAGCGCCCCCAGCCUUGGCUGGCUCGGGAAAUAUGUUUCCUGAUGCUUCUCAUUUUUCCCACGCUCCCUGCUGCCGGCUGCGGAGCAGCGGAUGAGCGGGGAAGAAAUCCGCCCUAACGCCCGUGCCCCGCUCGGUCCUGGUGCCAGAAGUGCGUCUCCCCCCCUCUCCCCAAGCCCCCCACAAACAUUUGCCUUUGUACUUCAAAAACCACGCUGAGAACCAGCUGGGCAGCAUGCAAAUGCCCUCAAACCCAUCCAAACGGGCUGGGAAGAGCAUCCCCAUCCUGCCAGUGCAGCCCCGACCUCUCCUCACCCCAGCCCCGCUCCUCGGCAGCUUCGCCCCACGGAGGGGACGCUGAGCACGUGGGCGCCGGCAGCCUCCACUGCCUCUGCUCCACACUGUAAAGCUGAGAUUUACAGGUGGCCGGAGGAGACCAGAGCUGGGCAGCCUUUAUGGAGCCUCAUUAGGAGCUGCAGGUAUGCCGAGAAUGUCGCAGCUAAUUACAGCUGGGCUCGGCGGGGGACAGGGGUGCACAGCUGGGGGGGCGCUGGGGUCGCUGGCCGCGGGGCCGGGAUGGAGCUGCGAGGUUCUUGGCACGAGCGGGGCCCAGGCUCGAGGGCUCGGCUCCAGUGCGGAGCCCCGGGGUCGGCCAGGUCCCAGGCCCCAGCGGCCCCGUGGAGCUGCGCCACUUCCCAGCUCUCGCGCUCCCUGUGCCGGAGCCAAGGUCCCUUCCCAAAGGCCUGGGGACGUGCUCGGCAGCUGCCGUGUGCCCCCAUCCUCGCUGCCCUGCUGCUCCCCGGCUCUGCUUGCUCCAUCGGAGACUCCCCGAGCCCAGCCCAGCCGCAGGCAGGCUCCAGGCAGGGCUGAGGUCCUGGCCAUGCACAGGGCACCAAACCUGCGCUGACCUGGGGAAGAACCCACCCAGCCUCCUCUGGACCCAGCUUUCCCAUGGAUAAAGCCCCCGGAGGGCUCCAGGACCUGCGCAAUGGCACCAGAACCAAACCAGAGCCCGGGACGUGAUGUGUGGCACCAAACACUGGUGGCGGGAGCUUGGCUGGGAUCCACCGACCUCACCACGUCCCGGGGAGAUGCUGGCGCGGGGCACGGCACAGUGGCAGCACCGGGGGGACCGGGUGGCUCAGCCCUUGGCCACGGCACUCGGCGACGGGACUGCGGGGUCCUUGAGGUCCCCGAAGCAUCCCAUGCUCAGGCAUGGGGCGGUGAGUACCUCACGUGGGGCGUCCCCCGUCCUUCCCUGUCCCCCAGCAGACGCAUCUGUGAAGCCACCUCUGCAGCAGGAAAACCUCAGGGGGCUGAUGGCACCGACUGGCCCCCGUGCCUCGCCACUGCUCAGGAAGGGCAGCGCUUGGGUUCCUCGGGGCAAGGAGCACAGAAACAGUGAGUCCGGAGAGGGAAAGCGAGGUCCUGGCGCGGCGCAGGAACCCUCCUGCAGCCCCAUGGAGAGGCGCGGCCGUGGGCUCAGCCCCACGCUCCCAGCCCCACGCAGGGGCUCACUGGCCCCAGGGCAGCACAGGUGGGGGGCAGCCCCUCCACUCGUCCCUGCACACGCCGGCCUGCACUCUUUUGUCCCCUCAUUUCCCUGAAUUUAAACAAAAGACGCUUCCAACCCACCCAGGGAGGCCGCGGGGAGCAGAGCCGGGUGCCGUGGAGAGAAGUGGCGCUGGCACUGGCUCGGGACCGAGCCCCCUGCGCACCGAGCCCCCACCUCCUCCGUGGCCCCCACACUGCACAGCCCCACCACUGCUCCCGCCCCUGGCCCCCCCAGGCCUGACCUAUAGUCCCACUCGCAUUUACAGCCCAAGCGUCUGCUGUGAAAAGUGACUUCAUGCUGAAUUUGGGCACUGCACGGCGUUACCAGCUCUCACGCUGCAAGCCCCGGCCCUCCUUUUCUUUCGCUCGCUUUCCCACACUUUCCCCCACUCAUUGUGUGCCCGCUGCUUUUUUUCUUCGCCUAUUCAGCCCAAAUUAGUCACGAGCAGCCCCCAGCUUGGAGAGGAAAAAUAAAUUAGGUGGUGUUUUAAACACAGUGUGAUUGGAACGAUUCUCCCCUGCACCCAGGAGGGGAAAGCCCAGCCUUUGAAAGAUGCAGUGUCCUCCACCAACAGCCCCCGCGCACGGCCCUGGGAGCGGGCUGGGGACGUGGCCCCGCGCGGAGCUCACUGGGUUGCGGUGCCAUGGCCAAAGGAGGCUCAGCCCUGGCCAGGGGAGGGGACGGGAAGAAGCUGGACCCAGCCCCAUGUCACGGGGAAGGACUGCGUGGGACACGUGGCCAGGCACCAGGUCCCCGUCCCUGCUCCGGGAAGGGGACAGCACCGGCACCCCCGAGUUUGGUUCUCAGCUUGAUGAGGUUGGAAGCCCGGAGAAGCUGCUGUGACAAAGCCUUGGAUACCAGGAGAGCUCUGUCCGCCCCCCCUUGUCUCUCUGACCACCCAUGGCUCCCGGCACCCACACCAGCAGCAAAGGGAAGCACUGGCCCUGUUGUCCUUACGCACCUCCGUGGCUCCAGCUCCGCUACCGCUGGGUGCCAGCCCCGAGUCCUGCCCCCGGCCGGAGCAGCAGGGUGGCUCCGGGGAGGCGAGAGGGGACGAGGAGCCGGGGCAGGCUGGGAGCAGCGGGCGGCAGCAGCUUUCCCCACGGCCGUGGUGCACCAACACCCAUCCAUCUGUCCGUCCAUCCGUCCGUCCGUCGCGGCUCCAUCCCCGCAGCACGCUCCGGCCCCCAGCGCGGCCGCGCCACACGUCAAACCGACAGACACCAGAAUUGCCUUGGAGAAGCAGUUUUAUUAUGAAACCAAGAACGAAAUGCAGUGUUUGCCCUGACACACUACAAAACAUCUCAAGCAAAUAACCAGCAGAAGGAUCAUGAGCCAAAUAGAAAAUACAUCUUACAAAAUCUGACAUACAAAAAAAAUAAAACAAACGACAGAAUAAAGUUAUUACAUUAAAUCG